GACAGAGGGGGCAAGCGUUGCUCGGAAUCACUGGGCGUAAAGGGCGCGUAGGCGGGAUGGCAAGUCGGUCGUGAAAUCCUUCGGCUCAACCGAAGAACGUCGGCGGAAACCAUCUGGCUAGAGUCCGGAAGAGGAGAGUGGAAUUCCUGGUGUAGCGGUGAAAUGCGCAGAUAUCAGGAAGAACACCCGUGGCGAAGGCGGCUCUCUGGGACGGUACUGACGCUGAGACGCGAAAGCGUGGGGAGCGAACAGG
rnacentral:rRNA from 1 species